rnacentral:rRNA from 1 species
GACGAACGCUGGCGGCGUGCUUAACACAUGCAAGUCGAACGAAGUGGCGAACGGGUGAGUAACGCGUAAUCAACCUGCCCUUCCGAGGGGGACAACAGUUGGAAAAGACUGCUAAUACCGCAUACUGAAGGAGGGGAUUGCGUCUGAUUAGCUAGUUGGAGGGGUAACGGCCCACCAAGGCGAUGAGCAGUAGCGGGUCUGGGAUGAGGAACGGCUACAUUGGGACUGAGACACGACCCAGACUCCUACGGGAGGCAGCAGUGGGGAAUCUUCCGCAAUGGACGAAAGUCUGACGGAGCAACGCCGCGUGAGUGAUGACGGCCUUCGGGUUGUAAAGCUCUGUUAAUCGGGACGCGGUACCGGAAUAGAAAGCCAGGGCUAACUACGUGCCAGCAGCCGCGGUAAUUC